rnacentral:tRNA from 1 species
GAUGUAAGGGUCAGAAAUCCCGAGAAAGCCUGUACCACCGGUUUCCUAAACCGAAGGUCGGAAGUUCGAGUCUUCCCGGGAUCGCCA